ensembl:snRNA U4 U4 spliceosomal RNA
AGCUUUGCGCAAUAGCAGUAUCAUAGACAGUGAGGUUUAUCCAAACACGAUUAUUGCUAAUUGAAAACUUUUCCCAAUACCCCGCGGUGACAACUUGCAAUAUAGUCGACAUUGGCAAUUUUUGACAAAAGAAAAGUGUCUGAUAUAUUCUGUAUUCUAUCUU